GGAAAGCGGAGCGACGUCCUCGGUGGAGCAGGAACACGGAGCGACGUCCUCAUCGGAACAGGAAUGUGGAGCGACGUCCUCAGUGGAGCAGGAAAGCAGAGCAAUGUCCUCAUCGGAACAGGAACGCAGAGUGACAUUCUCAGCGGAACAGGAUUUCUUUUUUUCAGAUCCUCAGAGAGUUCUUUGCCAUGAGGUCAAGCUGGAUAGUCGACAGCACAUCCCCGAGAGUCUCCUGGAGCUCCUUUUUAAAAAUAUUGAUGAUGUCUUCCUUCAGCGAAGCCAGCAACUCAAGCUCUGAAGUCAGAGUCACCGCGCAGUGAUGCGGAUUCAGGGGAAGAAGGGGACUCGCUUUCGGUGCGCACAGUAGGCCUCUGUUGUGUCUGAAUAGUACUAAGGGCUUUUGUGUUUUUUCCAGACAUUUUAAUGUGCCACAAAGUUAAAAGUGCAAACAAAAAAUGGAGUAGAAUAAGUCAAAAUCUAUUGUGUGACCGAAAAGUGCAAUUACAAUUUUAAUCGAAAUCGGCAGGAGCCUCCAACUUCGUGUCCUACUCCAUUGGCAACUCAGCAGCGCCCCCUAAUCCAUAGUUAAUAUGAUGAACUACAUUCACUGAUGCUCAAGAAGGUGACACAAUACAAUAAGAACCGGGGGUGGGAUGGGGGUGGUAUGUAAAUUUAUGAACAGGAUGAAAUUAACAGGUGUAAAUUGUUAUUCUGUCUUCUGUGACACAUGUAAGUAUCUUAUUUAGCUUCUAAAGGGCAAUACUAAAAAAAUACCUUUAAACAAACUAAUAACAAUUUACACUGAUAAUCCUAUUAAAAAAUGUACACCACCCUGGAAUUUAAUGUAUUGUGUUACCUUUUUGAACAUCAGUGAAUGUGUGCACCUUAUGUAAUAGUCGUGUACGAGUCCCUCGGCUGUCCUCCGUGUGAAAAGAUGGAUCUCAUAUUAUAGUUACUGUUGGAAAGGGGUCAAAUAUACAGAAGAUGCAGGAAAAGUAAAGAAUGUGCAGGACCUGGAGGAUUUUUCUGAAGAACAGUGGGCAGUUUAACUGCUCAGGACAAACAAGGGACUCAUGAACAACCAUCACAACACAUAAAAAGAGUCGUGGAUCAUCCAGCUUUCAGACCUCCACGGGCUACAGAUGAGGAAAAGGCCGUGUGACGCAAAGCAGGCUGCACGGUUGUUGACGGAGUUUGGCGAUGCCCCCAUUGCUGUCCUUGUCUUCAAAGUUGACGCAUGGCAGGCACCAUGCGUCAAAAGGGGGAAUGAUAGCUGCGAAAAGCAUUGGUUU
ensembl:lncRNA